UACGGGGGGAGCAAGCGUUGUUCGGAUUUACUGGGCGUAAAGGGCGCGUAGGCGGCGCGGUAAGUCACUUGUGAAAUCUCUGAGCUUAACUCAGAACGGCCAAGUGAUACUGCAGUGCUAGAGUGUGGAAGGGGCAACUGGAAUUCUCGGUGUAGCGGUGAAAUGCGUAGAUAUCGAGAGGAACACCUGCGGCGAAGGCGGGUUGCUGGGCCGACACUGACGCUGAUGCGCGAAAGCCAGGGGAGCGAACGGG
rnacentral:rRNA from 1 species